UAAAGGAGGCUAGGAGUUAUGAAGGGAUAAAGGAGGCUAGGAGGUAUGAAGGGAUAAAGGAGGCUAGGAGGUAUGAAGGAAGGUAGUGAAGGGAUAAAGGAGGCUAGGAGGUAUGAAGGGAUAAAGGAGGCUAGGAGGUAUGAAGGGAUAAAGGAGGCUAGGAGGUAUGAAGGGAUAAAGGAGGCUAGGAGGUAUGAAGGGAUAAAGGAGGCUAGGAGGUAUGAAGGGAUAAAGGAGGCUAGGAGGUAUGAAGGGAUAAAGGAGGCUAGGAGGUAUGAAGGGAUAAAGGAGGCUAGGAGGUAUGAAGGAAGGUAGUGAACGGAUAAAGGAGGCUAGGAGGUAUGAAGGGAUAAGGGAGGCUAGGAGGUAUGAAGGGAUAAAGGAGGCUAGGAGGUAUGAAGGGAUAAAGGAGGCUAGGAGGUAUGAAGGGAUAAAGGAGGCUAGGAGG